UACGUAGGAUCCAAGCGUUAUCCGGAAUUACUGGGCGUAAAGCGUACGUAGGUGGAGACUUUAAGUGAGAUGCGAAAUCUAGCGGCUCAACCGUUUAGACUGUGUCUCAUACUGGGUUUCUUGAGGUUGGCAGAGGCAAGUGGAAUUUCCGGUGUAGCAGUGAAAUUCGUAGAUAUUCGGAAGAACACCAGUGGCGAAGGCGACUUACUGGACACAUACUGACGCUGAGGUGCGAAAGCGUGGGGAGCAAACAGG
rnacentral:rRNA from 1 species